GUCAUUCCUUCACAUGACCUGACCCCAAAUUCUGAUACGAAUGACUGAUUACGCACAAAACAUUUUCAAAUCAAAGAAUUUCAGAACACGAAGGCUCAAGCACCAAAAACGCAUAUUCCUGAAGAAUCAAGUCAUCGUUUCCCGCUAUGGCCGAUGCAGCAGCCGCUAUUGCAAUUUGCAGUGUGAUUUUUGCACUAUUUUUUGUCUUCUGGAUUGGAAGUAUGUGCUACUUCAGGACCCCGUGCAAAGAUCUGAAGAAGGAAACCACUUAUAUUGAAGAAGGAAACCUCAGUUAGGCGGGCAAGAACGAUUCUGAUAUUCACUAGCUUAGCAAGUUUUAUAGAUGUUUAAACUACCCGUGGAAGCGAUGGAACGGUGAUAUCAUAAAGACACAAGGACAUUUUUUUGGCCCAUUUCUACGGACGUUGUGUACGUUACCUGCAUCCCAAUACAUUCUUCUUCAUUUUUACUUUAGUACUUGAACUUUUGUAUUCACUUCAAGAGAAUAUAAACAGCAGUCUACAAUCUUUUGAUUCCUUUUCACUCCUGUUUUUACCCUUUAUAAUUUGUAUCCUGUAAGUUUCUUCCAUAAAUAAAUAAAUAAACUGUACAGUGGUUGUCAAUGUUGUGCCGCUGAGCUGAAAGCG